ACGAUGAAUGCCCAUUUCAUGCUGUCACCACUGACACAUUGUGACUGAGGCAGUGUUUGAGACCAAUACAGAAGAUAUACUACAAACGAAAAUGUGAGAACGGAUCAGACUGAGCUGGGGUGUGACCAGGCGGAUCCUGCAGGAGGAAACGCCACCUUCUAGCAUCACUGAGAGAGCUUCUACAGUAGAUGAAGGAGAACACGACUCCACUCCAUCACCCCACUGCAAAAACUCUUCCAGCGCCAAACUGCAGAGCAGGGAAGACAGAGAGAUGACCCAAGAAGAACACAUAAAGAAAUUGAGAACUUGCUCAGUUAAAAUUCAUUCUUUACAAGGCAGACCACCAUUUACUCUGCAGAGUACAGAGACUGCACAUUCUGUGUGUGUGAACAACUCUGAAACCCGGGGCAACUUGAAGACCUUGCCUUGUUCUGCUAAAGCUGGGAAGAGUUCCCGUCAAUUAGGCUCUCCUAAAACUCACAAGAGAAAUCGCACAGGAAGGGUUCCAUUUUCCUGUGCUGAUUGUGGGAAGAGUUUCAGUAAUUGAUCAAACCUUAAUAGACACCAGAGAAUUCACAAAGGAAAGAACCCACACCAGCAAAUCCACACAGGAGAGGAACCACAUCACUGUAAUGAUUGUGGAAAGCACUUUACUGAACUAGGAAAUCUUAAAAAACACCAACGAGUUCACACAGGAGAGAAACCACAUCACUGUAAUGAUUGUGGAAUGCAUUAUACUGUAUUAGGAAGUCUUGAAAGACACAAACUAAUUCACACAGGAGAGAAACCAUACCACUGUAAUGAAUGCGAGAUGCACUUCAAUGAUUUAGGAAAUCUUAAAAAACAGAAAUGAAUUCACACAGGAGAGAAACCACAUCACUGUCAUGGUUGUGGGAGGAGUUUCACUUGAAGAGACAACCUUAAAGUACACCAACGAAUUCACACAGGAGAGAAACCCUACCACUGUAAUUAUUGUGGAAAGAGAUUCACUGAAUCAAGACAUCUUAAAAAACACAGACACAUUCACACAGCAGUGAAACCCUGCACGCUGAAGGUUGGGAAAGGUUGAAUCUGGUGAGACGCACCUUAAAAACCAGGAAAUUCUCUCAAGACAAAAACAUGAAUUUAACCAAUAAACCUCUAUUGAUGUGGGCACAUGGGUCUGUGCCAGGACUUUUAAUUGCCUUUGAUUCAAUCUUGGGGCAGGUCACAGAAAUAAUAAAAUCACUCUGUGUUUAAAAAACAAAAAAUAAAAUAAAAUAAAUAAAAAAAAAACAUUUCCUGUCUGCAUCACCACAGUAACUGAGGCCUCUACUUGGUAACUGCCAGGGAACUGCUUGUAGAGUGACAGAAACGUUGUGUUAAAAGCAGAAGGGAAAGACUGUUGCAGCGCUACAAAGGCAGGACUGUGACUUGGCUUCUUCACGGCUAAACCCCUGGAGCAAGGUGUAAACACUGGGCUUCUCUUUGCAUCCCUCCAGGCUGGACCGCGGAGCAACGACCAUCGCAGGAUUGGUAUUCAUCUUACUUCUUCAUAAGAGUGCUUUAUUUCUCCAAAAGAGACUUUUGCACAUCCCUCCAAGUCAUAAAGGAAGAUAACUGAUGUAUUGAAUUUGCAGUGCAUGGCUUGGAGCGAUAAUGUUGUUUAAAUGCUUGUAAUGGUAUUUAUUGUCUAUAUACAGUAUGUGUCGGUGAUACUGAAUUAUUGCUAAUAUCUAGUAGUAUUUAGCUUCUGAAUAGACUUCAUUUUAUCUCAUGUAGUCUAUUCUUUUUCUUUGUUAAACAGCAAUAUGAAGCAUGUAGUGGAACCCAAGGUGUAAAAGAUAUUGUUAAAUUAUGUUUAAUUUGCUGCCUAUAGGCAAUAUUCUUCGUAGCUAUGGGGAUAAUGUUCAUUGUUAAGCUGAUGAUGCACAGCUGUAUUUAUCACUGAAACAUUUACUAAUAAAAAAAAUGAUGUUAGAAAAGUCU